rnacentral:rRNA from 1 species
CGGCUACCUUGUUACGACUUAGCCCCAGUCACCGGUUUUACCUUAGGCAGCUCUCUUCCGCCUUGCGGCGGAUUAAGACGCUGGCUUCGGGUACCCCCGGCUUCCAUGGCUUGACGGGCGGUGUGUACAAGGCCCGGGAACGUAUUCACCGCGCCGUGCUGAUGCGCGAUUACUAGCAACUCCAGCUUCAUGCAGUCGAGUUGCAGACUGCAAUCCGAACUGAGGCCGCUUUUUAGGGAUUGGCUUCGCCUCGCGGUUUUGCAACCCGUUGUAGCGACCAUUGUAGCACGUGUGUGGCCCUGGACGUAAGGGCCAUGAGGACUUGACGUCAUCCCCACCUUCCUCACCGCUUGCGCGGGCAGUCCCACUAGAGUGCCCAGCAUUACCUGAUGGCAACUAAUGGCAGGGGUUGCGCUCGUUGCAGGACUUAACCUAACACCUCACGGCACGAGCUGACGACAGCCAUGCAGCACCUGUACCAGCUCUCGGCUUUACGAGUCGUUUCCCUUUCAGGAUCCUACUACUGGCCUUUCAAGCCCAGGUAAGGUUCUUCGCGUUGCAUCGAAUUAAACCACAUGCUCCACUGCUUAUGCGGGCCCCCGUCAAUUCCUUUGAGUUUCAACCUUGCGAUCGUACUCCCCAGGUGAGGUACUUAAUGCGUUAGCUACGGCACCCCCGUUAAACGGGAACACCUAGUACCCAUAGUUUAGGGCGUGGACUACCAGGGUAUCUAAUCCUGUUUGCUACCCA